rnacentral:rRNA from 1 species
UGGCUCAGAACGAACGCUGGCGGCGUGCUUAACACAUGCAAGUCGAACGCGAAAGGGACUUCGGUCCUGAGUAAAGUGGCGCACGGGUGAGUAACGCGUAGAUAACCUGUCUUCAUGUCUGGAAUAAUACGCCGAAAGGGGUACUAAUACCGGAUAUUCUUGCUUUUCAUAAGUUAUGCAAGCAAAGGUGGCCUCUGCAUAUGCUACUGCAUGAAGAGGGGUCUGCGUACCAUUAGCUAGUAGGUGGGGUAAUGGCCUACCUAGGCGACGAUGGUUAGCGGGUCUGAGAGGAUGAUCCGCCACACUGGCACUGGAACACGGGCCAGACUCCUACGGGAGGCAGCAGUGAGGAAUAUUGCGCAAUGGGGGAAACCCUGACGCAGCGACGCCGCGUGGGUGAAGGAAGGCCUUCGGGUCGUAAAGCUCUGUCAAGAGGAAAGAAGUGUACAAUGGCUAAUACCUGUUGUAUUUGACGGUACCUCUAAAGGAAGCACCGGCUAACUCCGUGCCAGCCGCAGC